rnacentral:rRNA from 1 species
AUUGAACGCUGGCGGCAUGCCUUACACAUGCAAGUCGAACGGCAGCAUGGGUGCUUGCACCUGAUGGCGAGUGGCGAACGGGUGAGUAAUGCAUCGGAACGUACCCGGAAGUGGGGGAUAACGUAGCGAAAGUUACGCUAAUACCGCAUAUUCUGUGAGCAGGAAAGCGGGGGAUCGCAAGACCUCGCGCUUCCGGAGCGGCCGAUGUCGGAUUAGCUAGUUGGCGGGGUAAAGGCCCACCAAGGCAACGAUCCGUAGCGGGUCUGAGAGGAUGAUCCGCCACACUGGGACUGAGACACGGCCCAGACUCCUACGGGAGGCAGCAGUGGGGAAUUUUGGACAAUGGGGGCAACCCUGAUCCAGCCAUGCCGCGUGAGUGAAGAAGGCC